ACUUCCUGCAGAAAUCCUCCAGCCCUGUUAGAAAUGCCUCAGCCAGGGGGACUCAUCUCCUCAAACCUGGGGGACCGAGACCUAUGAGAGGUCACAGCAUGAGCCAGGACAUCGGAGGUACCCAGACAUUGUUAUGAAACUCCGCAUGUGCCCCUGGUGGACGCUGCUGGACCCAGCAUGCACACUUCUCGGCUAAGAGUCACCCUGGAUGAACCACCAUUGCCAGCGGGGAGCAUGUUGCAGCUUUCCCACGCAGUGGAUGAGAACGAAGGUUACGACCAUUGUGUGGGAGGCGUCUGUGUAGCAAUUGCUGGAAUCACUUGUGGCAUUGUAGAAAGACUGAGCGUGGGAAAGAAGACGCAUUCUGAAGUCACCCCGAUUUAUGUUAAAUUAUCACCUUGACUACUGCUAUAGAACGAAUGUUUAUGUCCCCCACCCAAAUUCGUAUGCUAAGACCUAAUAGCCAAUAAGAUAGUAUUAAUAGAUGGGGCCUUUGGGAGGUGAGUGGCUCAUGAGGGCAGAGUCCUCAAAACCAGAUAAGUGCCCGAAUAAAAGGGGCCCCAGAGAGAUCCCUUGCACCGUCUACCAUGUGAAGUGUAGAACACAGCGAGAAGGCCACCUAUGAGCCAGAACGUGGGCCCUCACCAGAACCCAGUUGUGCUGGCACCCUGAUCCUGGACUUCCAGCCUCCAAAAUGACGACAAAGAAGUUUGUUUUUCCUGAGCCAUCCACUUCAAAGUAUUCUGUCAUAGCUCCCCAAAUAGACUAAGACAUCUACUUAACCUUGGUCAAACGUUUAACCUUGGAGUCCACGCCUCUGAAAUGGUGACAAUAACACUGUGUAUUUCCUACUUUAUGAUCAGGAUUAAUAAAUGUAAUUUAUUAAUCAGAAAUUAGUAAUUUCUGAUUAUUAAUU
rnacentral:lncRNA from 1 species